GCUAGUUCAAUGGUUAAGAUACUCAAAAUUGAAAACCAAGGUCAUGAGUUCUGAACCCUUCCUUUACAUUUUUAUUUCCUAAACUAAAUUUCAGUUAAUCCCAUGCAUUUUUUAAUUCCUAAACUGUUUUGAACUAUCAAUUCACUUAAUUAAUUCACUCUUCGAUCUUGUUAACAAUAUGAUUAUAUGAUUAAUUGGUUAAUGUUUUGGGUUAUAAUCUUGAGGUCAUGAGUUCAAACCCCAUGAUUAGCA
rnacentral:tRNA from 1 species